GGGUCAGUAGGUUGGUCGUGCCACCGGUACGUACUGGUCUCACUGAUUCCUCCUUCCUGAAGAACCGUAAUGCCAUUAAUUUGGUGUUGCGGGGAAACAGGACUGUUACUUUGAAAAAAUUAGAGUGUUUAAAGCAAGCUAACGCUUGAAUACAUUAGCAUGGAAUAAUGAAAUUGGACGAUCGAUCCUAUUUUGUUGGCUUCUAGGAUUGACGUA
rnacentral:rRNA from 1 species